CAAUAGCGUAUAUUAAAGUUGUUGCGGUUAAAAGCUCGUAGUUGGAUUUCUGCCGUAGACGAUCGGUCCGCUCUUUGAGCGUGUAUCUGAUUCGGCUAUGGCAUCCUCGUGAGUUGCGUUGCUGUGCUUGAUUGCAUGGUGCGAAGUUCACGACUUUUACUUUGAGGAAAUUAGAGUGUUCACGGCAGGCAAUUGCCCUGAAUAUAUUAGCAUGGAAUAAUAAUAUAGGACUUUGGUCUUAUUUUGUUGGUUUCUAGGACUAAAGUAAUGAUUAAUAGGGAUAAUUGGGGGCAUUUGUAUUAACGCGUCAGAGGUGGAAUUCUUGGAUUGCGUUACGACAAACUACUGCGAAAGCAUUUGCCAAGGAUGUUUUCAUUGAUCAAGAACGAAAGUAUGGGGAUCGAAGACGAUCAGAUACCAU
rnacentral:rRNA from 1 species